rnacentral:rRNA from 1 species
UACGUAGGGGGCGAGCGUUACCCGGAUUUACUGGGCGUAAAGCGCGUGUAGGCGGCUGGUCAAGCGUGGUGUGAAAUCUCCGGGCUCAACCCGGAAACUGCAUUGCGAACUGACCUAGCUGGAGUGCAGGAGAGGGCAGCGGAAUUCCCGGUGUAGCGGUGAAAUGCGUAGAUAUCGGGAAGAACACCAAGUGGCGAAGGCGGACUCGCUGGGCCGGUC